AUAAUUAGUACAUACACAAUUAUUUAAAUAAAUAAAUCUGUUUCAGCUAGUACAGGAAAUUAAUUAAUCAAAGCUAGUAGUUAUAGCUAGGAUCUGAAUUACAGAGUUCAAGAGGAGCAUCUGAACAGAAUGAAAGUCCUUUAUAGAAAUGGUAAUGUCGCUUUACCAUUUAGAUAUCUUCUAGAAAGUACUUACAUCACGCAAUUAGGGACCGAUAUUUAAUGACAAUAACAAUCCAAAAGAUUGGGAGGGCCAACUAAAGGAAUAAAUCACUCAACCAAACCCUUAGGGACAGAUAGUUAAUGACAAUAAUAAAAGAUCCAUUCCUAUGCAUACGAGCUUAGUCUAUUAUGUUAAAGAGGCACCCUGUUGUUCGAUAGUCAGCACAACAAGUGAUCAAUGAGGUUGUUGCACAGACUGAUGACAUGGAAUUACGGCUCAGCCCAAGUGGUUCUGUGAUCUGUAGUAGACAAGCUGAGUAGUGGGAUUGGUUAGCUUGAUUUGCUGUGAAUAGUAGCUUAGUUAACAAGUUUGUUAGAUUACUGCAUAUAAAGCAAGCGAACUCUCUGUGUAUUCAUACUGUGAAGUAAAUCAAUCGAUUCAUUUUCUCUCAAAUCUCAAUGGUACUUUCUCUAUUUAAAUUUUAAAAUACCUUUAAUUAGGAUUAAUUAGAUUUUUCGCUUAUUAGGAUAAAAGCGAGAAAAAAGCACAACUACAAAAUUUGAUUGCAAAGUGUAAACCUACAAUUUUUUUGGGUAAAACAUGGAUAGUAAAACAUACAAUUAAAGAAGGAGAUAAAAAGCGUUUAUAUUUCACCUGAUUAGUUUCAGAAUUUGAGUGGUCUCAUCCCCACCAGCCAUUGAAUCGUUGAUAUGAUCACAUGCAUUGUUUUUAGAGGCACACAGGAGAGGUCUAUUUAGCACAACUAGCGUGACAAACGUUUUGCUGCACUCGUAGCAGACACUUGUACGACCGAUCGGGAUGGGUGAUUUCUGUUUUGCAACAACUUUCUGAAAAGUUAUGAAUGAUCACCUUCAACUUUUUUGGCAUCUUCUCUUCCCUGGCAUAAAUUAUAUGUGUUAUGAAUGAAGCACCCUUCAGAGUUCAAGAGGAGCAUCUGAACAGAAUGAAAUCACUUUGUAGAAAUGGUAAUGAUGCUUUACAUCUACAUGCUCUUACACAAUAUGAACUUUCAUUUAUUCAAGAACAUAACACUACCCCAAGCUCUUAUUCUACAAGUCAAUUCAGUUUGUAGAUGCACGCCAUUGUAAAAACUUUUGUAUUAUAAUUUCUGAAAAUAGAACGUAACAUUAUUAAUAUAGAAUCAGCAAUGUAUAUAACUUAUCAGACAAUAUAACAAGCACUUGGUGAGCAUACAAGAUAAACUAAAACAAGCUUUAAACAUAAAAUUAAAGUAAAUCGAAUUGCAAAACAUUAGAAUGGAUGUUGGAAUUAAAGCUAAAUUCAAUAGUAAUUCAAAUGAAUCCAUUUGAACUUUGUAAAUUCCGCAGAACAAAAUUAAUUUGAGAGAGCAAACUCACCAAUGGAACAAGAACACAGGGGCUUCAACUUGUAGGAAUAAAAAAAUAUUGCUGGCCGGACAAAAAUUGACAAUAACGGCUACAAUACGAAUUAAAAAAAAAAUCAAAAUCUAUAAUUACAAGCUAAGUGCGAGAAGAAACUCAUAAUCACAAGCUUAACUCAAAAGAUGAAGGGAGAAUACGAUGAAGAAGAGGAUGGCCAGUGUUUUACGCCGUUCGCCGGCAACCAGUUAGGUUUACGAUGGUGGCUAGUAACACGGAGUCCAGCGAAUAGUAGCAUACCGAACGGCUCUUUACCGUCACGUGGUUAGUAACAUAUGUGACUGCAGUGUGGCCGUCACAUAAAAGGUAUCGGGGUUACAAAGUUAGUGAUAUACGUAAUGGCUGCUUUUGCAUUCAC
rnacentral:lncRNA from 1 species